rnacentral:misc_RNA from 1 species
AACGCACAUUGCGCCCGCCAGCACCCUGGCGGGCAUGCCUGUCCGAGCGUCAUUUCAACCCUCGGGCCCCCCCCUCCCCUCUCUUUGGAGAGGCUGGGGGCGGGCCCGGCGUUGGGGCGCAGGCGGGGUCCGCCUCCCCAGGGCGGCCCCCCGCGCCUGGCCCCCAAAUGCAGUGGCGGCCGCGCCCGGCCCCCCCUCCGCGCAGUAGCACGCUGCCCCGCGGCUGGGAGCCGGAGCGGCCACGCCCCCACGGAAACCCCACCUCCACAGGUUGACCUCGGAUCAGGUAGGACUACCCGCUGAACUUAA